UCGAGAAUCAUUCACAAUGGGCGCAAGCCUGAUGGUGCGACGCCGCGUGGGGGAUGAAGGGCUUCGGUUCGUAAACCCCUGUCAUCUGUGAGUAAGGCUCCCAAUAAAAGCUUGGGAGAUUGAUAUCAGCAGAAGAGGAAGGGACGGCUAACUCAGUGCCAGCAGCCGCGGUAAUACUGAGGUCCCAAGCGUUGUUCGGAUUUACUGGGCGUAAAGGGUGCGUAGGCGGCUAUAAAAGUUUGGUGUGAAAUCUCCGGGCUCAACCCGGAAACUGCAUUGAAAACUAGAUAGCUAGAGGAUCGGAGAGGAGAUUGGAAUUCUCAGUGUAGCAGUGAAAUGCGUAGAUAUUGAGAGGAACACCAGUUGCGAAGGCGGAUCUCUGGACGGUUCCUGACGCUGAGGCACGAAAGCUGGGGUAGCGAAGAGG
rnacentral:rRNA from 1 species